AUAAGUGACACCUGCCCAAUGAUGAAUGAAUGGCCGCAGUAUCCUGACUGUGCUAAGGUAGCAUAAUCACUUGUCUCCUAAUUAGAGGCUGGAAUGAAUGGAUACACGAGAGAAGAACUUUCUUAAUUGAAAAUUGAAAACUUAUCCUAAAAGUUAAAAGACUUUUAAAUCUUAGAGGGACGACAAGACCCUAUAAAACUUUACCCCCUUCGGAAUUUAAACUCAAGAGAUUUAAUACCCCGUAUGAGGUUUUGCUGGGGCGGCAAACUUUAAACCCUAACAUAGUUUAAUAUAACUUUCAAAAGAAUUCAUCAAACCCUUACGAAGGAAUAGGAACAAGUUACUUUAGGGAUAACAGCGUAAUAUCUUUUUAGAGCCCCUAUCGCCAAAGAUGUUUGCGACCUCGAUGUUGAAUUGAAGUACCUAUUUUAAGCAGCCUUAAAAUAAGGAAGUCUGUUCGACUUUUAAUCUUUCA
rnacentral:rRNA from 1 species